rnacentral:rRNA from 1 species
UACAGAGGAGCCAAGCGUUGUCCGGAUUGACUGGGCGUAAAGCGCACGCAGGCGGCCGUGCACGUGGGGUGUGAAAGCGCUCGGCUUAACUGAGCGAUGCCACCUCAUACGGCAGGGCUCGAGCCCGUGAGAGGUCCACGGAAUUGCCGGUGUAGUGGUGAAAUGCGUAGAGAUCGGCAGGAACACCCAGGGGGGAAACCAGUGGACUGGCACGGUGCUGACGCUCAGGUGCGAAAGCGUGGGGAGCGAACCGG